rnacentral:rRNA from 1 species
AGAGGGUGCAAGCGUUAAUCGGAAUUAACUGGGCGUAAANNNNNCGUNNNNNNNNUUGUUAAGUUGGAUGUGAAAUCCCCGGGCUCAACCUGGGAACUGCAUUCAAAACUGACUGACUAGAGUAUGGUAGAGGGUGGUGGAAUUUCCUGUGUAGCGGUGAAAUGCGUAGAUAUAGGAAGGAACACCAGUGGCGAAGGCGACCACCUGGACUAAUACUGACACUGAGGUGCGAAAAGCGUGGGGAGCAAACAGGAUUAGAUACCCUGGUAGUCCACGCCGUAAACGAUGUCAACUAGCCGUAUGGAAGCCUUGAGCUUUUAGUGGCGCMKAACGCAUUAAGUUGACCGCC